rnacentral:rRNA from 1 species
CAGCCGCCACGGGAAUACGGAGGGGGCUAGCGUUGUUCGGAAUUACUGGGCGUAAAGCGCACGUAGGCGGCUUGGUAAGUUAGAGGUGAAAGCCCGGAGCUCAACUCCGGAAUUGCCUUUAAGACUGCCGAGCUAGUAGGUGAGAGAGGUAAGUGGAAUUCCGAGUGUAGAGGUGAAAUUCGUAGAUAUUCGGAAGAACACCAGUGGCGAAGGCGGCUUACUGGCUCAUUCUAGACGCUGAGGUGCGAAAGCGUGGGGAGCAAACAGGAUUAGAUACCCCAGUAGUCCCUGUCUCUUAUAC